GAAUCUCCAGAGACUGGGUGUGAACGUGACUUUUCACCCCUGGGUCACGGGUCACUUCCUGCUGCUUCUUUCAUGAUGCUUUGACAUCUUGGGGCAUCUUGCAGACCAGGGAUGGACUGCCCCUCCCAGGUUUGGCUAAUUCCUGGAGAUACUAAACAACUCGGCUUAGAACACACCUUUUAUAUGCAAGACAACAAAUCCAGGCUCCAUACCCUCAUCUCAUCCUUUUAUCAGGCUCCUCCAGCACAGAACAUUAUCCUCCUGCUCUAAGUCACCCAGAGCCAGGUACUGGACAAUUAGAGACCACUCUUGUAGCUCAGAGCCUGUCCAAAGGGUCCAAACUCUUCAAUCUGAAACUUCAGCUCAGCUGCUUACCCUGCCUCGCCAAUUCCUUCCCAUAAAACCCUAAAUAAAGGCUGUUGCCCCAGCUUUCCCCUCAAUCUUUCUGCCCUCAAAGCAAUCCUGGUGCUUCCCCAUAUGCUCCAUUCUCUUGAC
rnacentral:lncRNA from 1 species